GACAAGUAAGGGUAACAUUUCCAACAAAUCUUAAAUGUAAAUAUUAUUAUGUCCAUAGAUUGAAGUUUCAGGUGGAGAGCAAGAUGAAAAAUAUGCCAAAUUACAUGCAUGCAACCCAUUUAUGCCAUUUUUCUCUUUGUUUGUAGGCCUGACCGUUUGUCCUUGAGCCGUAGAUGGUCAACAAUCCGCUAGCUGUCUUGCUCUGACUGGUGCACUGGACAUGAUUUCAAUAGUCAGCCAGACCAUGAUUGAGCUUAAGGAUUGUGCUGCGGAUGCAGCCUGUGCAGUUCCGGGAGAGAGUCACUGUCUUGGGCAAUGCGGUCUGGUAUCAGGUCUGGAUGAUCCUUGCCUGACUGCGGGUUUGUGUACACCUCAAUCCGACUCUGUGUCCUGAACAGAGGCCGCAGUGGUGCAGCGCUUGUGGACAAUCCAUCAACAUCCUGAAAGGUCAACACUUCACCAAGCUGGAAAAAUUGAUCCUGAUAGUCAUCCCCAGGCCUGACCGUUUGUCCUUGAGCCGUAGAUGGUCAACAAUCCGCUAGCUGUCUUGCUCUGACUGGUGCACUGGACAUGAUUUCAAUAGUCAGCCAGACCAUGAUUGAGCUUAAGGAUUGUGCUGCGGAUGCAGCCUGUGCAGUUCCGGGAGAGAGUCACUGUCUUGGGCAAUGCGGUCUGGUAUCAGGUCUGGAUGAUCCUUGCCUGACUGCGGGUUUGUGUACACCUCAAUCCGACUCUGUGUCCUGAACAGAGGCCGCAGUGGUGCAGCGCUUGUGGACAAUCCAUCAACAUCCUGAAAGGUCAACACUUCACCAAGCUGGAAAAAUUGAUCCUGAUAGUCAUCCCCAGGCCUGACCGUUUGUCCUUGAGCCGUAGAUGGUCAACAAUCCGCUAGCUGUCUUGCUCUGACUGGUGCACUGGACAUGAUUUCAAUAGUCAGCCAGACCAUGAUUGAGCUUAAGGAUUGUGCUGCGGAUGCAGCCUGUGCAGUUCCGGGAGAGAGUCACUGUCUUGGGCAAUGCGGUCUGGUAUCAGGUCUGGAUGAUCCUUGCCUGACUGCGGGUUUGUGUACACCUCAAUCCGACUCUGUGUCCUGAACAGAGGCCGCAGUGGUGCAGCGCUUGUGGACAAUCCAUCAACAUCCUGAAAGGUCAACACUUCACCAAGCUGGAAAAAUUGAUCCUGAUAGUCAUCCCCAGGCCUGACCGUUUGUCCUUGAGCCGUAGAUGGUCAACAAUCCGCUAGCUGUCUUGCUCUGACUGGUGCACUGGACAUGAUUUCAAUAGUCAGCCAGACCAUGAUUGAGCUUAAGGAUUGUGCUGCGGAUGCAGCCUGUGCAGUUCCGGGAGAGAGUCACUGUCUUGGGCAAUGCGGUCUGGUAUCAGGUCUGGAUGAUCCUUGCCUGACUGCGGGUUUGUGUACACCUCAAUCCGACUCUGUGUCCUGAACAGAGGCCGCAGUGGUGCAGCGCUUGUGGACAAUCCAUCAACAUCCUGAAAGGUCAACACUUCACCAAGCUGGAAAAAUUGAUCCUGAUAGUCAUCCCCAGGCCUGACCGUUUGUCCUUGAGCCGUAGAUGGUCAACAAUCCGCUAGCUGUCUUGCUCUGACUGGUGCACUGGACAUGAUUUCAAUAGUCAGCCAGACCAUGAUUGAGCUUAAGGAUUGUGCUGCGGAUGCAGCCUGUGCAGUUCCGGGAGAGAGUCACUGUCUUGGGCAAUGCGGUCUGGUAUCAGGUCUGGAUGAUCCUUGCCUGACUGCGGGUUUGUGUACACCUCAAUCCGACUCUGUGUCCUGAACAGAGGCCGCAGUGGUGCAGCGCUUGUGGACAAUCCAUCAACAUCCUGAAAGGUCAACACUUCACCAAGCUGGAAAAAUUGAUCCUGAUAGUCAUCCCCAGGCCUGACCGUUUGUCCUUGAGCCGUAGAUGGUCAACAAUCCGCUAGCUGUCUUGCUCUGACUGGUGCACUGGACAUGAUUUCAAUAGUCAGCCAGACCAUGAUUGAGCUUAAGGAUUGUGCUGCGGAUGCAGCCUGUGCAGUUCCGGGAGAGAGUCACUGUCUUGGGCAAUGCGGUCUGGUAUCAGGUCUGGAUGAUCCUUGCCUGACUGCGGGUUUGUGUACACCUCAAUCCGACUCUGUGUCCUGAACAGAGGCCGCAGUGGUGCAGCGCUUGUGGACAAUCCAUCAACAUCCUGAAAGGUCAACACUUCACCAAGCUGGAAAAAUUGAUCCUGAUAGUCAUCCCCAGGUAGUGGAAUGAAUGUACACUGAACUACAGAGGAAUCACACCCAAAUGACUUUCCUGCCACGACAUUAGUGUGGCCACUCGCGUAGGAAUUCCUUAGCGAACAUGCUCUUUUGCAUGGUGACUGUGGGCAUUUUUGCAAAACUUAAGCUUUCAACACUGGAUUUUAAAGAGAAUACUUAAUAAAAUGUCGCUAACAGGACUUAUUUAUAUGAG